rnacentral:lncRNA from 1 species
CAAAUCUAUUUAUUCGUCUGUCCGGCUACGAGUUAGAUCUGGUGGUUUACUUUCGGACGCAAUUAACAAUUUACUUGGUGUGAAACAAGGGGACCCAUUGUCUCCCUUAUUAUUUUUGUUCUUCAUCAAUGAUAUUAUAGAAGAUAUGUCCGUAAAUGCUAGUGAUGACGUUGUACAACUCAAUGGUUUUCUAAUAUACUUAAUUCUUUUCGCUGAUGACACUGUAUUGUUUAGUAAGUCUCCCGAAAUGUUACAAAAAUUACUAGAUAAUCUAUCAAUCUAUUGUAAGAAAUGGAACAUUGAGGUAAAUACAGACAAAACCAAAAUUGUUGUUUUUAGAAAUGGAUGGCAGCCAGCUAACUUCAGUUUCAUGUAUGAAGGUAAAGAACUACAGAUAGUGGACUCUUACGUGUAUUUGGGUAUGCUACUUCAUUAUAAUGGAAAAUUCUUACAUACCCAAAAAAGAUUAUCUCAACAGGGAUCAAGAGCGCUUUCGUCACUUCUGAACUCUUUAAAACAUGUGUUUUUAUCCACAAGUCAAGAAUGUCUACUGUUUGAUAGUAUGGUUGGUUCCGUAUUGAACUAUGCAUCUGAAAUAUGGGGUUUUCACCGUGCAAAUGAUAUAGAGCAAAUACACAACCGUUUCUGUAGAUUUGUUUUAAAACUAAGUAAAAAUGUUCCUUUAAGUUUUUUAUGUGGUGAACUAGGUCAUUUGCCUAUGUAUGUCUCAAGAAAAC